CCUAGAGUGCGGGUCCAUCGCGGCCCAACCCUCCCACCCUUGUCUCUAUACACCUGUUGCUUUGGCGGGCCCACUGGGGCCACCUGGUCGCCGGGGGACGCAUGUCCCCGGGCCCCGUCGCGCCGCCGAAGCGCUCUGGUGAACCCUGAUGAGAUGCGGCUGUCUGAGUACCAUGAAAAUUGUCA
rnacentral:misc_RNA from 1 species